CGGACAGGGGGGUUCCCUGCCCCUCGGCGGGGCCUGUCCGGCCGGCCGCGCAAGACGCGUGGCCAGUGGUUGUCGCUCGGGGGUGAUCGCCG
rnacentral:sRNA from 24 species